rnacentral:rRNA from 1 species
CAGUCGCCGCGGUAAUACGUAGGUCCCGAGCGUUGUCGGGAUUUAUUGGGCGUAAAGCGAGCGCAGGCGGUUAGAUAAGUCUGAAGUUAAAGGCUGUGGCUUAACCAUAGUACGCUUUGGAAACUGUUUAACUUGAGUGCAAGAGGGGAGAGUGGAAUUCCAUGUGUAGCGGUGAAAUGCGUAGAUAUAUGGAGGAACACCGGUGGCGAAAGCGGCUCUCUGGCUUGUAACUGACGCUGAGGCUCGAAAGCGUGGGGAGCAAACAGGAUUAGAUACCCCGGUAGUCCCUGUCUCUUAUACA